GAAAUUUACAGAAUUAAAUAAUUGCAUCUUCACGACUCAAAACCAGCGAUGAAGUUUAAAAAACACAAUAUGAAAAUAUUGUAAAUGAUAUGUCAACGGUAUGCAUCUUACCCCACAGUAUUAUAUAUACGUUUAAAUUGUUUUAGCGCUAACUUAUAAUCACUAUCGAGUUUUCUCGAUUUUUGUGCCGCUAACUGAUUGCCUGAUUGCGGCGUGUUAGGCGCUUUUUGUUUCUUGCUAAACUUUUAGUGCUUCUCAGAUAACACCAGUUCGUUUUCGUUUUACUGUUGUUCUGUAUAGAUGUAUAAGGGACCUUUUUUAUGUGAAAAUCGUCGUCAAGUUAAUAUAUACUUCUUCGUCCCUUCGAUUUGCCAAUUCCAUCUCGUUUUCAUCGAUUGCUUCGGUAUUCUAGAAUGCAAGUCUUUGUUUAUAUUCGAGAAUUGAUUAUGACGUAAUAAAAACAAUUGAAAAACUUCCGUAAAUUUAAAUGCAGUAUAUGUACGCGCAAACUUUAUUAACUAUAAACCAAGCCUUAGUUUAAA